UGUUUUUCGGCCGUUUGGUCGGGAGUUUGGCUCCGAUUUGGCCACCAGAGAACUCAGCAUUGAAAAACGAGCCGGGGGCAUGAAAUUUACCUCGAUCGGCGGUCAGAAAACUCCCCGGUGCGGCGGCGGGUGGCGGCGGCCGGCUCCUCCGGCAUCUGGUUCGUCUUCUCCGGCGAGGGCUGGUGGCUAGGGUUUUUGUGGUCAGGUGUGGGGGUUUUAUUUAUACCCUUUGCCUUUUAAUCACAGCCGUCUAUCUUGAUUUAAUAUGGACCGUUCGAUCGCGAUUUAAUUUGGAUUAAAUCUGGGCCGUCCGUGCGCGUGCAU
rnacentral:lncRNA from 1 species